UGUUCAUUCAUAAUUUUCAUUUUAAAAGUGUAUUCAUUCCUUCUGCAAAUCCAUACUGUCAUGCAUAUUCCCCAAUAUCGCCAACGCGGAUAGUUCGUUAGUCGAAAAUACUGAAUAAUUAAACAAACCAAAUGGCAUCACUGGUGGUUCUUUUUUCCACUCCGCUAAACUGUCAUCUCAAACAAAAACAAAUGGAUCAUACAACUGCUAUGAAUACAUUCGACUCGUUUGCUUCCAUCAAUCGGUAAGUGAGAAAGAUGAUUUCUCCCAUCACCACAGUGCGGAUUUCCACUUAUAUCACAGCAGCCAACAACAUCCGUUUUCCUGCAGCAGUAACCUCCAACCCCUGUUGGCAAUGCCGGGGGACAGCAUUAACAGCAGCAGCAGCAGAAUUUGACCAUGGUAUGGUAUUCGCGUCAUCGAAGGUACGGUGUCGCCACCUAUGAAAGUUUCGCGUGUGAGUGAAAAAUAUGUAAACAAACCGUUGCAUAUUUUCUCUGUAAUUAAUAUACUGAUUUCUCGAAAACUUGUACCGUGUUUAUCUUACAAUUAGUGGAAAUUGUUGAAAAUUUACCAAACCAAAAUUUAUUGUCAUUUGGUAGUGAAAAAAAGCCGUUGAAGUACACCCUCUGUCAAUCUACUUGCGAGAGAGAACGUGUGAAAUAUGGACGUCAAAAGCUGCGCAAAUUGCCCGGAGAACAUGCAAGUCAGACGAAAUUAGCUUGGAGCUGACUCCGAACAAUCUGCAAAAUUCAAAAGCCGUAUUGUUUGUGUCGUCCCCGGAUGUAAGCAGAGAUAUCGCCCCGGAAUUUCUUUUCAUGCCUUCCCUCCGAAAAUGGACAAAUCGCGGUAUCUAGACUGGAUCCAACGACUACGGCUAAAGAUAGAACCUACAAAAACCUCCCGUAUUUGUAGCCUCCAUUUCACCGUGUCGAACUUCUACUCUCCAAGUAUUCACAUUCACAUUUUCGCACUUUUGAAAAAGUGUGAAGCAGUUCAACUUGGUGCAAAAUGUGCAAUAAUAAAGAAAUAAAAUGAAACAUACUUAAGCAAAUGACACAAAACAGCCAUGACGUGUUUGCACUUCCCUUUGCCAGCUUUGCAGGAACACGAAAACAACUAUUUGGAGAAAGAGAUUUUCGUACGAAUUUUUAUUGUAUGGGGUUCCGAGCUUGGAGAUGAUGACUGGAGGCAGGACGAGAAAAUACUGAAGCCUUCAUCGUGAACUUCUUCAACACCAACUAUUAAAAUAUGUCCAGCUUUGAAUACUCUUUCGCCUUCGACGACUAAACGGCUUCCACCCGCAGCGUAAUCGAACACAUCCGCAAACUCCACAGCCACGUAGCAGGUUUCAUUUUCUCCGACUGAUGGCUCCUGAUAAUGCAUGAAACAAGGUCACAGAAAAACACUUAUAAGUUAAAUUCAGCUUAAGCUACGGCAAAGUUUUUUUCACUGCAUAAGGAAAACUCAUUUUUCAACCGUUUGGAAGAUAAAUUUUGCACACAAUUAUAAAUUUUCAUUAAAAUUUAGUAUCCUGAAAGUUUGUUUACUUUUUCACAAGUAAAGACAGUGUCCUUUGGAUGCGGUAAGAAAACGUUUUCCCCUGCAGUAAAUUUAUGUGGUUUAACUAAAUUAGCAUCCUAGAGGAUAGUUCUUUCGAUACAUACUCACCAUUACGAAAAUUUUUGCAAAAAACGUUAAAAACGGUGCGUUUAAAAAUCACUUUUUUUUUUGCAAUUCUUUGUUGACAUUCGCUUCACGCACACAAGCUGUCAAAUUCAGCUUCGUAGUCGCGAAUUGCGAAGAACUUUCCCCAUUAGAGGUUCCGUGCUUCGCGCACAUUCAAAAAUCCUCUUCAGACACGAAAACUCAACGACAAGGAGGUAUUUAUCAACUUGCUCAGCUGAAUUACCACCCGGAGGAACCCGAAUGCACUGAUUCCAUUGUAUAGUAGAAUGAAAAUAGGCGAGGUAAGCGAACGUAAUCGCAUGAUAUUUUAAUGUUCGCAUUUUUAUCCGGAUCAUACAACUGCUAUGAAUACAUCCGACUCAAUCAAUCGGCGAAUGAGAAAGAUGAUUUCCCUCAUCACCACAUUGCUUAUUUCCACUUCUAUCACACCAGCCAACAGCAUCAGCUUUCCCGCAGCAGUAUCCUUUAAGUCCAGGGUGCUAUUCCGGGGAACAGCAUCAACAGCAACAGCAGCAGGACCUGGCCAUCGAUAGUAUUUCGAGCAAUUUUCCCCAUCGGAGAUCCCGUGGUUCACGCACAUUGAAGAAUCCUCCUCAGCCACAUAUCUGUGUCAUCAAGGGCAAGGAGGUAUUCAUCAAUAUACUCAGUCGGAUUUGAAUCGUCAAUCCAGACAACCCGGAUGCACCGAUUCCAUUAUAUACCUUAUUUUUAUUAUACAUGGAUUUUUAUUAUUUUUUUUUAAUAAAAUGAUUAAAAUCGA